rnacentral:ncRNA from 1 species
GCCAGAAGAGGCGCGUCGCCCAGGUAGAGUGUCAGAGGAGCCGUUUUCCAAUGACGACGCUUGAGGGGGAGCGACGCCGAGGUAAGGUGAUGCGCGGCAUUCAUCGUAUCGACUACAGGGGCUGAAUCCCCUGGGUUGUCACCAGAAUUGUCCGUAAGGGCAAUCAACAAGGUGGGGCGCUUCUGGGU